GACGAACCGAGCGAACGUUGUUCGGAAUCACUGGGCUUAAAGGGCGCGUAGGCGGGCUGUCAAGUCUGGGGUGAAAUCCCGCGGCUCAACCGUGGAACUGCCUUAGAUACUGACGGCCUCGAGGGAGGUAGGGGCGAGCGGAACUGUGAGUGGAGCGGUGAAAUGCGUUGAUAUUCACAGGAACUCCGGUGGCGAAGGCGGCUCGCUGGGCCUUUUCUGACGCUGAUGCGCGAAAGCUAGGGGAGCAAACGGG
rnacentral:rRNA from 1 species